rnacentral:rRNA from 1 species
GACGAACCGUGCGAACGUUAUCCGGAUUCACUGGGUUUAAAGGGUGCGUAGGCGGGCAUUUAAGUCAGUGGUGAAAUACCUGAGCUUAACUUGGGAACUGCCAUUGAUACUAUUUGUCUUGAAUGUCGUGGAGGUUAGCGGAAUAUGUCAUGUAGCGGUGAAAUGCUUAGAUAUGACAUAGAACACCUAUUGCGAAGGCAGCUAACUACGCGAAUAUUGACGCUGAGGCACGAAAGCGUGGGGAUCAAACAGG